UUCGAUUGUGAAAGGUACUGAAUUAUA
rnacentral:sRNA from 1 species